GCAGAGCUUGCUCUGCUGGAUCAGUGGCGAACGGGUGAGUAACACGUGAGCAAUCUGCCCCUGACUCUGGGAUAAGCGCUGGAAACGGCGUCUAAUACUGGAUACGAGCUGCGAAGGCAUCUUCAGCAGCUGGAAAGAACUUCGGUCAGGGAUGAGCUCGCGGCCUAUCAGCUUGUUGGUGAGGUAACGGCUCACCAAGGCGUCGACGGGUAGCCGGCCUGAGAGGGUGACCGGCCACACUGGGACUGAGACACGGCCCAGACUCCUACGGGAGGCAGCAGUGGGGAAUAUUGCACAAUGGGCGAAAGCCUGAUGCAGCAACGCCGCGUGAGGGACGACGGCCUUCGGGUUGUAAACCUCUUUUAGCAGGGAAGAAGCGAAAGUGACGGUACCUGCAGAAAAAGCGCCGGCUAACUACGUGCCAGCAGCCGCGGUAAUACGUAGGGCGCAAGCGUUAUCCGGAAUUAUUGGGCGUAAAGAGCUCGUAGGCGGUCUGUCACGUCUGCUGUGAAAACCCGAGGCUCAACCUCGGGCCUGCAGUGGGUACGGGCAGACUAGAGUGCGGUAGGGGAGAUUGGAAUUCCUGGUGUAGCGGUGGAAUGCGCAGAU
rnacentral:rRNA from 1 species